rnacentral:rRNA from 1 species
UACGAAGGGGACUAGCGUUGUUCGGAAUCACUGGGCGUAAAGCGCACGUAGGCGGAUGUGUCAGUCAGGGGUGAAAUCCCGGGGCUCAACCUCGGAACUGCCUUUGAUACAGCACGUCUCGAGUCCGGAAGAGGUGGGUGGAAUUCCUAGUGUAGAGGUGAAAUUCGUAGAUAUUCGGAGGAACACCAGUGGCGAAGGCGGCUCACUGGUCCGGUACUGACGCUGAGGUGCGAAAGCGUGGGGAGCAAACAGG